CGCCCCCACGACUGCGCGUCGCCGUGACGCGCAUCGCACGAGGCAGUUCGAACCAAUAGGGCCGCAGAUCGUACGCAGGCGCACUAGCCCAGACCGGAAACUGCUCUUCUGACCGCUCAAGAGUGUGGAUGCAUCCUGGGAGUUGUGGUUCGGCCAGAAAUUCAGCGAAAGCAGGACUGAGCAUGGAGACACAGAGAGAAAGAGUGCUACUCGGGCGGGCACACAAAUCCCCUUCGUUUUUUCCCUCCCACCGAAAGCGGAAGCAGUUUAGAUCAGAAGAGGCAGGGGCCAGCUCGGGGACGCUUUUUCCGGUCUCUAUGGAUACGGGCUACACACCUUGGGCGGAAGCCAAAAUUGAGGGAUUUAGACUGGAUCAUGUUUCUGCCAAUAGCCAAUAUUCUGCUGGGCGUCGUCUGUGAAAGCUUCCGAAAUAAGCCUUGGGCAUUAGCCAAGUCUUGUACAAAGCAAUAGCGUUUGCCUUUUAUUACCUUAGUACAAGGCUCCUCAAAAACAUGUAAACUCACUCACUCUUAGAAUACAUGUAAUUCAGGAUGAUUUGUAAAAUGUGUUUAAUGUAAUGGCAGAUCAGAAACUAAUUCGGCAUUCAAUACUGUGUCCCUUUCCCAAAGUGAGUGAUUUUCUACAUAUGAGCUUUCAACGGAGCUCUAACUUCUUAGAAAUCAAAUAAAUGGUUUGGUUACCUACUUAUUCUAAAAGAAAAGGAAGUACAAGCUCCCUACUCUCUCAGCCGAAAGCUCGGUUUUUCAUUAACCAACAGAAUUACAAAAAAGGGUUUUCACUUUUCCAAACUGGUAAUUGUUUCUGUGCCUUCGCCUGGGCUUCGGAAAGGCUUCCUAAGAACAACAAUUUGCAUUUUUGCAUUUUUGGAUAGGCGGAGAAACCUGGAUAGAAAGUGGUUGGCUUUAUAAAAAUGUUUUCCUCACGUUCAGUUCUAAGAUGAACGUAUCACACUCUGAAGAGCAACAGGAAACAAAGAAUUCUGGAAAAAGCUGCACAGAUCUCAUACUAGAAGGCCUAGAGUCUAAUGAGAGUGGAGUUCUUCAUCUUUGGCAGCACUAAGAAAAGAUUCCUGUCCACCCCUACUCCCUAUACUAGUCACCAGUGACACAACAGUGCCCUGUGGCACAGCUAGUCUGAUGUAGUCAUCUCCACAAUUAUCAGAUGUUGUUGACAAGGAGAACGCAUCACUGGCAUGGAGCCCAAUGCCCAGUGUGGAGCCCAACACAGGGCUUAUAUUCACAACCCUGAGAUCAAGACCCAAACUGGGAUGAGCCAGACGUUUAACCAACUGAGCCACCAGGUGCCCACCUUUUCUACACAUUCUUGACAGGAUUUGUUAGCUCUUGUAUUUUUUUUAAAGAUUUUAUUUAUUUAUUCAUAGAGGCACACAGAG